rnacentral:lncRNA from 1 species
AUGCCUCCAUCACCACCACCAUCAUCAAUCAAGAAACACUUGCCUCACACCUCCUCUGGAGCACACUGGAUGAAGAAACUGAGACUUGGAGAAGUCAAGGGGCCUGAAGCCAUUUGGCUCCUUAGUAGGGUAAGUUCUCUAGCCUCUGGGGCUCUUGGUAAAAUCAGUACAGUAGACCGAAUGUUCCAUCUCUAUUCAAAUGUUCACUUUCACAAAAUGUCCUUUUGUUUCUCAUGAUCUGAUUGUUUUACAUUAACAUGUUUCAUCGAGACUUAAGAAAUGUUUUUUAUAGAUGCUGAAAUGAGGCAGGUAGAACCAUAUGUCUUUGCUAGCCUUUGUCAGUGGAACCCCCCCCCAACCCCCAGCUUUGAGGAGUCAUACUUUGGGGCUCAGUCCCACCAUGCGGGAACUAGAUCUGUCUGCUUCAGAAGGGCUUGAGGCUUUCAGAACCACCAUGGCAAUGAAAAGAUCUUGAGCCACGGUAGUAUCAGUUCUGUGGUGGGAAUAAUUAUGUCACCAUUUGUGUGACAGGGCCAUAGUCCUUCAUAAGGGCAGAGGUGCAUGCUCUCCACUAAGAUCAACAUUAAAUUCAAGGAAAGGGACAAGGGGAAAUGACAACUAUUCGAGACAGAAGUGCUCCCAAGGGAAAGUCAGGAGAUAAGAUGGCAUGACAAGAAAGAACAUGCCUUUUCUAACUCCACCAGUACCAGUGUGACCCUUGGCAUGACACACUCUCUCUGAGCUUUUGUCUCCAUGUCCUUGGGAAGAGGUUGAACAACACAUCUGGCUCUAAGGUCCCUAUCUGCUCAAACUUUUAAAACCUCUAAGUGGUAAGAAUUCCAUUUUACUGUCAAAAGGCUCACUUUAUUAACAUUGCUUUCUUUAUGGGUAAACAUGUAAAAAGGCUUGUAACCAAGUCACUUUUGUCUUGAUGGGCUUUUUUAUAAUGCCUUCUUAUUUUCCAAGAGAAGUGCUGUAUUUUACUUAAUCUUUCAAUCACAAUUGCAGAUAGGAGCCAUGUUUGUCUAGGUCCAUUUGGCCUAUUGGACUGUUCCCUGAAAUAUCAUAAAAAAUACAUAGUUCUUAUUCUCCAUCUGUUGUUUCAUCCAACUUUUCUUUUUUUCUACUCCAGCAUUUUAUUUGCCACAACCAAGCCAGCUCCAGGGCAGGAAGGGAUUCACAAACCCUCCAAUCUGGAAGUCACUGAGAUUUCUGACCAACAUUCUGGGUUGUGUUGAAAUGAAGAAAAUAAGAUGAGUUCUCCAAACUCAUUUAAAUGGCUAAAAUUAUAUAGCCAUCCCCCAAAGCAAAUAUUUAAGUUCUAACACACUGAGAGAAAAUAGGAUGAUUAUUAUUAAUUAUUAUUAAUUGAGGCCUCCUAUUUUGCUUGUUGACUCUUUCAUACUAGUCCAUCACUGAGUCUGUGAAUCAGACCUCCUAAAAUAACCUGAUUGGGGCAAAUUCAACACAUUUUAGUUUAAUUUUCUCCAAUUCAAAUACAACUUGCACAAUGAGGUGAGUGUCUAACAAUUCAAAGGAACAAACCAUUAAAUUAAAAUUCCUAACUUGAUUGUUUGAAUCACACUGGGCUAAAUUUACAUCUUCCAUAACACUGUGGGAAUUCACUCUGUGGGAGAUUUUUCUAGCUACAUUUUUUUUUUAGCAAACCUUUUCUUUUCUCCUCUUUUUUAAAGGGUGAAUUACUUGUCGCUGUACCUUUAACGAUAAGAUGAAAGAAAUAAAAACUGGGCUCCAGGAGAAAACAAUGAGGCAAUAAUUCUGAAAUUAAAAUACAGAACAUGAUAUAUCAAUAUAAUUGUCCUGCGUAUGUGAAGAUAACUCUGCUUUGAUGGUGUUAUUUCCUGAGCACGCAAAACCUAAUAAAAUCUGGAGGGCUGAACUGAUGAGAAAUUCAGCGUUAGAGAUUAUGAAAAACACACACUAAAAUAGCCAAACAAAAUUACUGAAAAACAAUUUUAGUGGCAAAUUAUUUAUCUAAGUAAUGCAGGAAGAUUUAUAGAGAUCUUCCAACAUUAAAAUAAAUUAGUUACUUAAAAAACUUAACUUCUUUGACAAAGGAAAGUGAUAUGCUUAUGUAACUCUUUGUUUGACCUUGAGCAACUCAGUUGACAUUUCUGUGCCUCAGGUAUCUUCAUCUUUUAUUAUUCAUCCAUUAGGAAAUUUUUCCUUAAAAUUUCUAUAAUUAUAUCUUUGUGGUGAUAGCUUUUCCCCCUUGUUCUUGAUUCAUCUCAUUUCUUCAAAAUAGAAUUGUUAAUUAUAAAUAGAAAAGAAAGUUUUGGU